AUUUUAGUUUGUGUCAAAUAAUUUUUGAGUUUCUUCACAUACCCUUCCUUAUUGAUAUUUCCUAAAAUGUCAAUUCUUUGAGGAAAAAAAUUUCAUAAUUUAUUACUGACUUUCACAAAUAAUGAUGAUUUUCCAUGUUGCCUUUGCCACUCUACUUUUCUCUUUAUAUUUUCUCUUAUAUAAUGUUGUUCCUAUUAGUAAUAAAACCAACUUUUGGGCCUGUUUGCUACAGUGUAUUAGGAGAGAACAUCACAAGCUAAUAUAAAGUCAUUUAUUAAAAAAAAUUCAUUUAGCAAUUCUGGGUUUUUUUCCUGAUUAUAUACUAAGCAGUGCAUAAAUAUCAAAAGAGGGGUCAGAAGGGGAAAAAAAGCACCAAGAUCUAGUUCUGCCUUGAGACCUUCCCUGGCUGUCAUCUCCUUUGCCUGGGUGGCUAAGAUGUUAGUAAUCCCAUUGAGAAAGAAGGAUGACAGGGGACAGAAAAUAAGACCAUAACACAAGCUCAGGGCACAACAUGUGC
rnacentral:lncRNA from 1 species